rnacentral:rRNA from 1 species
GACGAACGCUGGCGGCGUGCUUAACACAUGCAAGUCGAACGGAAAGGCCCUGCUUUUGUGGGGUGCUCGAGUGGCGAACGGGUGAGUAACACGCGAGUAAACUGCCCUUGACUUUGGGAUAACUUCAGGAAACUGGGGCUAAUACCGGAUAGGAGCUCCUGCUGCAUGGUGGGGGUUGGAAAGUUUCGGCGGUUGGGGAUGGACUCGCGGCUUAUCCGCUUGUUGGUGUGGUAGUGGCUUACCAAGGCUUUGACGGGUAGCCGGCCUGAGAGGGUGACCGGCCACAUUGGGACUGAGGUACGGCCCGGUCUCCUACGGGAGGCAGCAGUGGGAAAUAUUGCAGAGUGGGCGGGAGCCUGAUGCAGAAACGCCCCGUGCGGGAUGACGUCCUUCGGGUUGUAAACCACUUUCGCAUGUGACGAAGCGGGAGUGACGGUAAUGUGUAAAGAAGCACCGGCUAACUACGUG